AGCGAACGCUGGCGGCAUGCUUAACACAUGCAAGUCGCACGAGGGGGCAACCCCUAGUGGCGGACGGGUGAGUAACGCGUAGGUAUCUAUCCGUGGGUGGGGGAUAACAGCGGGAAACUGCUGCUAAUACCGCAUGACACCUGAGGGUCAAAGGCGCAAGUCGCCUGUGGAGGAGCCUGCGUCCGAUUAGCUAGUUGGUGGGGUAAAGGCUCACCAAGGCGACGAUCCGUAGCUGGUCUGAGAGGAUGAUCAGCCACACCGGAACUGAGACACGGUCCGGACUCCUACGGGAGGCUG
rnacentral:rRNA from 1 species